rnacentral:lncRNA from 1 species
GUUUCCGCAGCAGGUCCAACUGGAUUUGGCAUCUGCGGGAGACUGCCCUUCAGCAGCUGGGACCUGRUAGGCUCAUUUCCCGGGACACUGAGCUAGCAAAUCAGAUGCACACAACUUGCCUGUCUGUGCUGUCUCCAAACUCUGCCUCUCUGCAGCAUGUGCUCUUCCCUCCAAGGUCAACGCAGGUAACUUGCUGUGCCUAAAAUAAAAAAGAAAUCAGAU